rnacentral:lncRNA from 1 species
CCUCCAUUAGAAGCUGAAUCCAAAUCACAGACCUAACCUCCUGCACCGAACAUCUCCACCAAUACAUGCAGGGUAUUGUAAACAAUUAUCAGCCACACCGGACAACGGUUAAACAUGUGCGCAGCGCUACAAUUGAGAUAUACAUGUGUGAAGCCCUGAAAGCAUCCAAAUUGAUCUUUAAUGUAUAAGUAUAGAUUCUUGUCUCUCCUAGUUGGCAGAGACCGUCAGCUAUGUUGGGUGAAAAGGACAUCAAAGAAAAUCUUCUUCAAACAAAUUAAUGCAAGAAAUGGCUAACAUAGUUUGGUUUGGUUUGGAUUGAGUUCGAACUAUUG